CCGUAGCCCAAGAGAUCGGGAUAACACCUGGAAACAGAUGCUAAUACCGGAUAACAACAGAUGAUGCCUAUCAACUGUUUAAAAGAUGGUUCUGCUAUCACUUCAGGAUGGGCCCGCGGUGCAUUAGCUAGUUGGUAAGGUAACGGCUUACCAAGGCGAUGAUGCAUAGCCGAGUUGAGAGACUGAUCGGCCACAAUGGAACUGAGACACGGUCCAUACUCCUACGGGAGGCAGCAGCC
rnacentral:rRNA from 1 species